rnacentral:rRNA from 1 species
GACAGAGGCCCCAAGCGUUAGGCGGAAUCACUGGGCUUAAAGCGUGUGUAGGCGGACGCCUAAGUGUCUUGUGAAAUCCCACGGCUCACCCGUGGAACUGCUGGGCAUACUGGGCGUCUUGGGCCAACUAGGGGCAGCCGGAACAAGCGGUGGAGCGGUGAAAUGCGUAGAUAUCGCUUGGAAUGCCGAAGGUGAAAACAGGCUGCUGGGGUUGUGCCGACGCUGAGACACGAAAGCCAGGGGAGCAAACGGG